rnacentral:rRNA from 1 species
UUUCGCAAUGCCCGAAAGGGUGACGAAGCGACGCCGCGUGGGUGAGGAAGGCCUUCGGGUUGUAAAGCCCUGUCAGGAGUUAAGAAAUGUAAGUGCGCUAAUACCGCAUUUAUUUGACGAAGGCUCCAAAGGAAGUCACGGCUAACUCUGUGCCAGCAGCCGCGGUAAUACAGAGGUGGCAAGCGUUGUUCGGAAUUAUUGGGCGUAAAGAGCACGUAGGUGGGUUUGUAAGUCAGAUGUGAAAGCCUCCUGUUCAACGGGAGAAUUGCAUCUGAAACUACAGAUCUUGAGUGUAGGAGGGGAGAAUGGAACUCCUGGUGGAGCGGUGAAAUGCGUAGAUGUCAGAAGGAACGCCGGCGGCGAAAGCGAUUCUCUGGCCUAUUACUGACACUCAGUGUGCGAAAGCUAGGGUAGCAAACGGGAUUAGAUACCCCGGUAGUCCUAGCCGUAAACGAUGGGCACUAAGUAGAGGGGUUUUA